UACGUAGGGAGCAAGCGUUGUCCGGAAUCAUUGGGCGUAAAGCGCGCGUAGGUGGCCUCAUAAGUCCGCUGUGAAAGUCAAAGGCUCAACCUUUGAAAGCCGGUGGAUACUGUGGGGCUAGAGUACGGAAGAGGCGAGUGGAAUUCCUGGUGUAGCGGUGGAAUGCGCAGAUAUCAGGAGGAACACCGGUGGCGAAGGCGGGUCUCUGGGCCGAUACUGACGCUGAGGAGCGAAAGCGUGGGGAGCGAACAGG
rnacentral:rRNA from 1 species